rnacentral:rRNA from 1 species
CAAUAGCGUAUACUAAAGUUGUUGCAGUUAAAAGCUCGUAGUUGAAUUUCUGGUUGUGAAAGGUGGUCCGUCCCUCACGGGAUGUGUACCAAUCAUUCAUGGCCAUCCUCGGAGAGAUUGUGCAUGGCUUUAAGUAGUUGUGUUCAGGAACUCCGUCAUUUACUGUGAGCAAAAUAGAGUGUUCAAAGCAGGCUUAUGCCGUUGAAUAUAUUAGCAUGGAAUAAUAAGAUAUGACUUUGGUCUAUUUUGUUGGUUUGCACUCCAAAGUAAUGAUUAAUAGGGAUAGUUGGGGGUAUUCGUAUUCAAUUGUCAGAGGUGAAAUUCUUGGAUUUAUGGAAGACGAACUACUGCGAAAGCAUUUACCAAGGAUGUUUUCAUUAAUCAAGAACGAAAGUUAGGGGAUCGAAGACGAUCAGAUACCGU